rnacentral:rRNA from 1 species
AGAGUUUGAUCCUGGCUCAGGACGAACGCUAGCGGCGGGCUUAAUACAUGCAAGUCGAACGCGAACGGUAAUCUUCGGAAUACCAAGUAGAGUGGCGAACGGGUGAGUAACGCGUAGGCAAUCUGCCCUUUGGUGGGGGACAACAUCUCGAAAGAGGUGCUAAUACCGCAUGAUAUCUUUUUAUCACAUGUUGAAAAGAUCAAAGAUUUAUCGCCAGAGGAUGAGCCUGCGUCCCAUUAGCUUGUUGGUAAGGUAACGGCUUACCAAGGCUACGAUGGGUAGCUGGUCUGAGAGGAUGAUCGGCCACACUGGGACUGAGAUACGGCCCAGACUCCUACGGGAGGCAGCAGUAAGGAAUAUUGCACAAUGGACGAAAGUCUGAUGCAGCCACGCCGCGUGUGGGAUAAGCUCUUGCGAGUGUAAACCACCGUUAGGAAAGACGAGUGCCAGUGUUUUGCACUGGUUCGACGGUAUUUCCAGCGAAAGCUCCGGCUAACUCCGUGCCAGCAGCCGCGGUAAUACGGGUGGAGCAAGCGUUGUCCGGAAUCACUGGGCGUAAAGAGCGUGUAGGCGGGAUCGUUAGUUUGAGGUGAAAUGUCGGGGCUUAACCCCGAACCUGCCUUGAAUACUGCGGUUCUUGAGUUUGGGAGAGGAAAGCGGAAUUCCAGGUGUAGCGGUGGAAUGCGUAGAUAUCUGGAAGAGCACCGGUGGCGAAGGCGGCUUUCUGGCCCACAACUGACGCUGAGACGCGAAAGCGUGGGGAGCGAACAGGAUUAGAUACCCUGGUAGUCCACGCCCUAAACGAUGAACACUAGAUGCUGGGAGAUUCGACCCUUUCAGUGUCGUAGCUAACGCGUUAAGUGUUCCGCCUGGGGAGUACGAUCGCAAGGUUGAAACUCAAAGGAAUUGACGGGGGCCCGCACAAGCGGUGGAGCAUGUGGUUUAAUUCGAUGCAACGCGAAGAACCUUACCUGGGCUUGAACUGUGCCGGAAACCUUCUGAAAGGAAGGCCUCCUUCGGGACUGGUACAGAGGUGCUGCAUGGCUGUCGUCAGCUCGUGUCGUGAGAUGUUGGGUUAAGUCCCGCAACGAGCGCAACCCUUAUCACUAGUUGCCAUCAGGUUAUGCUGGGCACUCUAGCGAGACUGCCGGCGUUAAGCCGGAGGAAGGUGGGGAUGACGUCAAGUCCUCAUGGCCCUUACGUCCAGGGCUACACACGUGCUACAAUGGGUGGUACAGAGGGUCGCAAUACCGCGAGGUGGAGCUAAUCCCAC